UAACGUAGAGCUGGCUAGCUGGAACCGCUAUGAUAGAACUGUCAUUUAUAUUCAAAUGUGAUGUUGUCUUUAGCUGUGUAAUGGCUGUGCCGAACUCUCUAUUGUAAAUAUUCUACGUGUGCUUUGAUACCAAUAUAUUUAUUAUGUUACUACCAACCACUGUGUUUAUUGCUCUGUAGCGGACUUAAUAUAUCCCUAACAAGGGUUAUGGGCCCAGAGCCCCAGAGCAAAGUAACAUUUUAAAAUAGUUUGUCGUGAAAAUAAUUUCGUAUAAAGUGACGUGAACAGAAUGUCGAAUGUACGUAUUGAGUUAUUGAGAAAAGACAACUAUGAUAGUUGGAAAGUGCAAGUAGAAGCCCUAUUGAUCAGAAAUGAUUUUUGGGAAUAUGUAAGUGGAGAAAAGUCAAAACCCACGGAUGAGACAUUAUCAACAGCAUGGGAUUUUGCUGACAGAAAGGCAAGAUCGGAGUUGAUUUUGUCAUUGGAUCCGAGUGUUGUUCAUCAUGUGAAAAGAUUGAAGACUGCACGAGAGGUUUGGCUGAAAUUAGAGAGUCUGUUCGUAUCACGUGGACCUGCGAAAAAAGCGACCCUGAUGAAAAGGCUCAUGCUACACAAGAUGAGUGAGGAUCAGAACGUAUGCGAACAUCUUGAUUUAUUUUUUGAAGCUGUCGAUAAGUUAGAAGAAAUGGACAUCGUGAUCCAUGAUGAUCUUUUAGCGAUUAUGUUGCUGUAUAGUUUACCAGCAAGCUAUGAGAACUUCAGAUGCGCCAUUGAAAGUAGAGACGAGCUGCCAAAGCCUGAACAACUUAGGGUGAAAAUUAUCGAAGAAUACAGUUCGAGAGGCAAUACCCAAGUUGAGAGGAUAGAAGGAGCUAUGUAUAUAAAUAAACAUCAGAAGAAGAAUGGGACUGGACCUGAAACAAAAUUUAAGUAUAAAUGUUUCAAAUGUCAUAACUUUGGACAUAAGGCAUCCGAUUGCAAGAAAAAGAAGUCUUCUCAGGCUUCAGAACAGAAACCUUCAGAAUCUAGUUGCGUUGAGUCGUGUUCGACUGUAGAACAUGAAGCUUUAACUGUGUAUCAUGUUUCAGAUAACUGUUUAGCUAUUGAUUCCAAGCGUCUUCAUCAGGAAUGGUUGUUUGAUAGCGGUUGCAGCUCGCACAUGUGUAACAACGCAAGCAGGUUUGAUAAAAUAUUGCCAAGUAACCAACAAUUGAAAUUAGCCACUGAUUCUUUGACAACCGUGCAAGGUAAGGGUACUGUCAAGAUAUUAGCAUGUAACGAUGAUAUUACGCGAAAAAUCCAAUUUGAAGAUACGUUGUUAGUUCCUGAUCUACGUAGUAACUUAAUUUCGAUUUCUAAACUUACUGAUCGAGGUUGUAUAGUCACUUUUAAACGUGAUGUAGCAUAUGCAACUAAGGAUGGUGAAGUUAAGUUGACUGCUGAUCGUAGAGGUAAUUUGUAUUACCUGAGAGAGCAGGAUGCUUCGGCAUCUGUAGUAUCAGAUAAGGAUGUGGAUUUGUGUAGAUGGCAUGAGCGUAUGGGACAUUUGAAUGCUAGGGAUCUUAUGAAAGUACUGAAGAAAUCGGGUAUAGACGCCACCAAGUCUGAUACUGAAUUGCGCGAUUGUGAUGUGUGUGCUAAGGGAAAGAUGGUUGCGUUGCCUUUUGUGAAGUCCAGUCAGCCAUGUGACGAAAAGUUAAAAAUAAUUUAUUCUGAUGUGGUAGGCCCAAUGAGAGUUCAAUCAAAUGCGGGAAACAAAUAUUUUGUUACAUUUAUUGAUGAUUGUACUCGUUGGUGUGAAGUUUUUAUGUUGAAAAAUAAAAGUGACGUCUUGUCAAAGUUUAAAAUAUUUAAAUGUCAGAUCGAAAAUUUGACAGGUAAACAAAUAAAAUAUUUCCAUUCCGAUAAUGGCAAGGAAUUUGUGAAUAGUGAUUUUUCGAAAUUUUUACAAGAAAAUGGAAUAAAAAGGAGGUUGACUACGCCGUAUUCACCGCAGAGUAAUGGAAUUGCAGAACGGAUGAAUCGCACCUUACUGGAGAAGGCAAGAUAACAUUCGGUGCGAAAGUUCAUGUUUUGGAAAAGGAGCCAGGAAAGGAUAAGUUCGCAGCACGAAGUUCUCCCGGCAUUUUUGUGGGCUACCCGGCUGAAUCUGGUGGCUAUAGGGUGUGGAUAUCCGAGAAAAGAAAAA